rnacentral:rRNA from 1 species
GCCCAGCACUGAAGCCCGUGAUCGUAAUUCGGUCACUGGGCAAUGUAGUGUUUGGGAGAGCCCGUUUAACCAAGGCAUUUACUUAUGCGUCCAAGUCCUUCUUGAAGGGGGCCCGUUCGCCCAUAGAGGGUGCUAGGCCCGUAGUGACCAUACAGUAUGUUUUGGUGGGUUUCUCCUUAGAGUCGAGUUGCUUGAGAGUGCAGCUCUAAGUGGGUGGUAAACUCCAUCUAAGGCUAAAUAUAACCACGAGACCGAUAGCGAACAAGUACCGUGAGGGAAAGUUGAAAAGAACUUUGCAGAGAGAGUUCAAGAGUACGUGAAACCGUUCAGGGGUAAACCUGAGAAGCCCGAAAGGUCGAACGGAGAGAUUCAUUUGCCUUUUCCAGUAAUAACGUUACUGACAGUUGACUAUUUGAGACGUAUCAUGCGUACGUACAUUCUGUUUCGGCAGGGUACGUAGCCAGUAUGUUAUGCUCCGCUGUUGUAAUUAUUUGUUUUAUUAUUGGAGGCAUGCACUUCUCUCCUUGUAGGACAUCGUAACUCAUUGAGUAUGUUGUCUAAGGUUCACAAUGGAGACCGGAGCGACAAUUUUUUUUUCGAAAAAAUUUGUGCGUUACCGAACAUGUGGUGUCCCGACAUCUACACGAUGGUAUAACAAUAUGAUGAUAGGCCACAAACUUAUAUAUAUGUAUUUAAACUCAUAGCAAGUUUAAUAUACGGUCAGUAAAAUAUGGACCUAGUGCCGAUUUUGCGCGUAUAUUGCUGUUGGUUAUGAUGUUCUUUAAAUUAUUGGUCUUUAAAUCAUCCGUUAACGAUGAUAAUGUUUUGGGUUGUUCUCAGGACCCGUCUUGAAACACGGACCAAGGAGUCUAGCAUGUGCGCUAGUCAUUGGGUACAUACAAUACCUAAAGGCGUAAUGAAAGUGAAAAUUUACUUCGGUAAAUUAAGGGAAUAUGAUUGAUAUAUUAUUUAUUGAUCCGCACUCCUGGGACGUCGYGUACUCAUGCGAG